rnacentral:rRNA from 1 species
UGGGGAAUCUUGCGCAAUGGCCGAAAGGCUGACGCAGCGACGCCGCGUGGGGGAUGAAGGUUUUCGGAUCGUAAACCCCUGUUGCCCGGGACGAAUCCUGGUUUUCGAGCCAGUUGACGGUACCGGGUGAGGAAGCACCGGCUAACUCUGUGCCAGCAGCCGCGGUAAUACAGAGGGUGCGAGCGUUGUCCGGAAUCACUGGGCGUAAAGGGCGCGUAGGCGGCCUGGGCAAGUCGAUGGUGAAAGCUCGUGGCUCAACUGCGAGUCGGCCAUCGAUACUGCGAGGCUCGAGUCUGGUAGAGGCAGAUGGAAUUCCGGGUGUAGCGGUGGAAUGCGUAGAGAUCCGGAAGAACACCGGUGGCGAAGGCGGUCUGCUGGGCCAGUACUGACGCUGAGGCGCGACAGCGUGGGGAGC